rnacentral:lncRNA from 1 species
AAUAAAUCAUCAUCACAAUUAUUUAUACAUUAUUUUACAAAAAUGGUGAGGACUACUAAACUACUCUCUCUAUAACCAUCAUUCCAUACCCCGACUCGUACUCGCUAUAUUCUCGCCUCCUGAGAAGAAAAAUGGAACAAAAAGGAAAAGGGUGAGCUCAACUAGCCCAGUAAAGAAUAUUAUGACUAAGAUAAUAUACAACAAAUUAUCGUUAGUC